rnacentral:rRNA from 1 species
AUAGUGGCGCACGGGUGCGUAACGCGUAGCCAACCUGCCCUUGACCGGGGGAUAGCCCGCCGAAAGGCGGAUUAAUACCGCAUAAAAUGGGGGAACGGCAUCGUUUUCCCAUUAAAGAUUUAUUGGUCAAGGAUGGGGCUGCGUGCCAUUAGCUGGUUGGCGGGGUAACGGCCCACCAAGGCGACGAUGGCUAGGGGAGCUGAGAGGCUGGUCCCCCACACGGGCACUGAGAUACGGGCCCG